AUUGAACGCUGGCGGCAUGCCUUACACAUGCAAGUCGAACGGUAACAGGUCUUCGGAUGCUGACGAGUGGCGAACGGGUGAGUAAUAUAUCGGAACGUGCCCGAUCGUGGGGGAUAACGAAGCGAAAGCUUUGCUAAUACCGCAUAAGAUCUAAGGAUGAAAGCAGGGGACCGCAAGGCCUUGCGCGAACGGAGCGGCCGAUGGCAGAUUAGGUAGUUGGUGGGAUAAAAGCUUACCAAGCCGACGAUCUGUAGCUGGUCUGAGAGGACGACCAGCCACACUGGGACUGAGACACGGCCCAGACUCCUACGGGAGGCAGCAGUGGGGAAUUUUGGACAAUGGGCGAAAGCCUGAUCCAGCCAUGCCGCGUGCAGGAUGAAGGCCUUCGGGUUGUAAACUGCUUUUGUACGGAACGAAAAGACUCUGGUUAAUACCUGGGGUCCAUGACGGUACCGUAAGAAUAAGCACCGGCUAACUACGUGCCAGCAGCCGCGGUAAUAC
rnacentral:rRNA from 1 species